rnacentral:rRNA from 1 species
AUUGAACGCUGGCGGCAUGCUUUACACAUGCAGGUCGAACGGUAACAGGCCUUCGGGUGCUGACGAGUGGCGAACGGGUGAGUAAUGCAUCGGAACGUGCCCAGAGGUGGGGGAUAACGCAGCGAAAGCUGUGCUAAUACCGCAUGUGAUCUGAGGAUGAAAGCGGGGGACCAGGCAGCAAUGUUUGGCCUCGCGCCUUUGGAGCGGCCGAUGUCAGAUUAGGUAGUUGGUGGGGUAAAGGCCUACCAAGCCGACGAUCUGUAGCUGGUCUGAGAGGACGAGCAGCCACACUGGGACUGAGACACGGCCCAGACUCCUACGGGAGGCAGCAGUGGGGAAUUUUGGACAAUGGGCGCAAGCCUGAUCCAGCAAUGCCGCGUGCGGGAAGAAGGCCUUCGGGUUGUAAACCGCUUUUGUACGGAACGAAAAGGCUCUGGCUAAUACCUGGGGCUGAUGACGGUACCGUAAGAAUAAGCACCGGCUAACUACGUG